rnacentral:rRNA from 1 species
UACGUAGGGUGCAAGCGUUGUCCGGAAUUAUUGGGCGUAAAGAGCUUGUAGGCGGUUUGUCGCGUCUGCUGUGAAAUUUCGGGGCUCAACCCCGAACUUGCAGUGGGUACGGGCAGACUAGAGUGUGGUAGGGGAGACUGGAAUUCCUGGUGUAGCGGUGAAAUGCGCAGAUAUCAGGAAGAACACCCGUGGCGAAGGCGGUUCUCUGGAACACAACUGACGCUGAGACGCGAAAGCGUGGGGAGCAAACAGG